UGAGGAAUAUUGGGCAAUGCCCGAAAGGGUGACCCAGCAACGCCGCGUGGAGGAUGAAGGUCGUAAGAUUGUAAACUCCUGUUAGAGGGGAAGAAUAACUAAGUUUGGAGCUUAGUAUGACUGUACCCUCAGAGAAAGCCCCGGCUAACUACGUGCCAGCAGCCGCGGUAAUACGUAGGGGGCAAGCGUUGUUCGGAAUUACUGGGCGUAAAGCGCGUGCAGGCGGUCUCUUAAGUCUGGUGUGAAAGCCCGGGGCUCACCCCCGGAAGGGCACUGGAGACUGGGAGGCUAGAGUACCGGAGAGGAAGGUGGAAUUCCUGGUGUAGCGGUGAAAUGCGUAGAUAUCAGGAGGAACACCGGUGGCGAAGGCGGCCUUCUGGACGGCUACUGACGCUGAGACGCGAAAGCGUGGGGAGCAAACA
rnacentral:rRNA from 1 species